UGGGGAAUAUUGCACAAUGGGCGCAAGCCUGAUGCAGCAACGCCGCGUGAGGGAUGACGGCCUUCGGGUUGUAAACCUCUUUUAGUAGGGAAGAAGCGAAAGUGACGGUACCUGCAGAAAAAGCACCGGCUAACUACGUGCCAGCAGCCGCGGUAAUACGUAGGGUGCGAGCGUUGUCCGGAAUUAUUGGGCGUAAAGAGCUCGUAGGCGGUCUGUCGCGUCUGCUGUGAAAACCCGAGGCCCAACCUCGGGCCUGCAGUGGGUACGGGCAGACUAGAGUGCGGUAGGGGAGAAUGGAAUUCCUGGUGUAGCGGUGGAAUGCGCAGAUAUCAGGAGGAACACCGAUGGCGAAGGCAGUUCUCUGGGCCGUAACUGACGCUGAGGAGCGAAAGCGUGGGGAGCGAACAGGAUUAGAUACCCUGGUAGUCCACGCCGUAAACGUUGGGCGCUAGAUGUGGGGACCAUUCCACGGUUUCCGUGUCGCAGCUAACGCAUUAAGCGCCCC
rnacentral:rRNA from 1 species